rnacentral:rRNA from 1 species
GUAGGUGGCAAGCGUUGUCCGGAAUUAUUGGGCGUAAAGCGCGCGCAGGCGGUUCUUUAAGUCUGAUGUGAAAGCCCACGGCUCAACCGUGGAGGGUCAUUGGAAACUGGAGAACUUGAGUACAGAAGAGGAAAGCGGAAUUCCACGUGUAGCGGUGGAAUGCGUAGAGAUGUGGAGGAACACCAGUGGCGAAGGCGGCUUUCUGGUCUGUAACUGACGCUGAGGCGCGAAAGCGUGGGGAGCAAACAGGGAUUAGAUACCCUGGUAGUCCACGCCGUAAACGAUGAGUGCUAAGUGUUAGGGGGUUUCCCGCCCCUUAGUGCUGCAGCUAACGCAUUAAGCACUCCGCCUGGGGAGUACGGCCGCAAGGCUG